rnacentral:rRNA from 1 species
CCUACGGGAGGCAGCAGUGGGGAAUCUUGCGCAAUGGGCGAAAGCCUGACGCAGCCAUGCCGCGUGAAUGAUGAAGGUCUUAGGAUUGUAAAAUUCUUUCAGUAGGGACGAUAAUGACGGUACCUACAGAAGAAGCCCCGGCUAACUUCGUGCCAGCAGCCGCGGUAAUACGAAGGGGGCUAGCGUUGCUCGGAAUUACUGGGCGUAAAGGGAGCGUAGGCGGGUUAUCAAGUUGGAGGUGAAAGCCCAGGGCUCAACCUUGGAAUUGCCUUCAAAACUGAUAGCCUAGAGUAUGAUAGAGGUAAGUGGAACUCCGAGUGUAGAGGUGAAAUUCGUAGAUAUUCGGAAGAACACCAGUGGCGAAGGCGACUUACUGGAUCAUGACUGACGCUGAGGCUCGAAAGCGUGGGGAGCAAACAGGAUUAGAUACCCUGGUAGUCCACGCUGUAAACGAUGAUUGCUAGUUGUCGGACGGCAUGCCGUUCGGUGACGCAGCUAACGCAUUAAGCAAUCCGCCUGGGGAGUACGGUCGCAAGAUUAAAACUCAAAUGAAUUGACGG